rnacentral:rRNA from 1 species
AUUGAACGCUGGCGGCGGGCCUAACACAUGCAAGUCGAGCGAGCGGCGGACGGGUGAGUGAUGUAUGAGGAUCUGCCUGAUGGAGGGGGAUAACUACUGGAAAAGGUAGCUAAUACCGCAUACCAUCAGAUGACCCCAUGGGGGAGUAGCGAGUAGGUAAGGUAACGGCUUACCUAGGCGACGAUCCCUACCUGGUCUGAGAGGAUGAUCAGCCACACUGGGACUGAGACACGGCCCAGACUCCUACGGGAGGCAGCAGUGGGGAAUAUUGGACAAUGGGCGCAAGCCUGAUGCAGCCAUGCCGCGUGUAUGAAGAAGGCUUUCGGGUCGUAAAGUACUUUCAGUCGGGAGGCGUUACCGACAGAAGAAGCACCGGCUAACUCCGUGCCAGCAGCCGCGGUAAUAC